UACGUAGGUGGCAAGCGUUGUCCGGAAUUACUGGGCGUAAAGGGUGCGUAGGCGGUUGUUCAAGUCAGAUGUGAAAUACCCGGGCUUAACCUGGGGGGUGCAUUUGAAACUGGAUGACUGGAGUGCAGGAGAGGAAAGCGGAAUUCCUGGUGUAGCGGUGGAAUGCGUAGAUAUCAGGAGGAACACCGGUGGCGAAGGCGGCUUUCUGGACUGUAACUGACGCUGAGGCACGAAAGCGUGGGGAGCGAACAGG
rnacentral:rRNA from 1 species